GACGAACGCUGGCGGCGUGCUUAACACAUGCAAGUCGAACGAAAAGGCCCUGCGUUUGUGGGGUGCUCGAGUGGCGAACGGGUGAGUAACACGUGAGUAACCUGCCCUUGUCUUUGUGAUAACUUCAGGGAACUCGGGCUAAUACCGGAUAUAAGCUCCUGCUGCAUGGUGGGGGUUGGAAAGUUUCGGCGGUUGGGGAUGGACUCGCGGCUUAUCCGCUUGUUUGUGGGGUAGUGGCUUACCAAGUCUUUGACGGGUAGCCGGCCUGAGAGGGUGACCGGCCACAUUGGGACUGAGAUACGGCCCAGACUCCUACGGGAGGCAGCAGGGGGGAAUAUUGCACAAUGGGCGGAAGCCUGAGGCAGCAACGCCGCGUGCGUGAUGACGUCCUUCGGGUUGUAAACCGCUGUCGCCUGAGACGAAGCGGGAGUGACGGUAAUGGGUAAAGAAGCACCGGCUAACUACGUG
rnacentral:rRNA from 1 species